UAGCCCAUCCCAAUAUCAGUUCUUGGGGGGAAAAGGAUGACUAACAGCGGAGCCCGCCACGAGCAGUUGGGUUCUCGCGGGGCGUGCCCCGCGCCUCCCACAGCGCCUGGCACACAGUGGAAGGGUGGGGAUAGUGAAAAAAGGCAUCAGCCAAUGCGCUGUCACCUCUCGGGUCCCCGAGUGCCUUUGCAUCCCUGAAGUAUACAGGUUGCUUUAGAAGUCUGUGUCUUUGGAGUGUAAGCUGUGUGCGGGCAGCAUCGGGUCCGUCUGUCUGCACACUGAGUGCACACCGCAGAGGAGAACCCCUUUCUGAAGAUUCGAACUUUUUACCUCAGCCCCGCCCUUCGCCUUUAUACCGGCAAACAACACCACAUUUAUUUCCAGAAGAGCGUGAGGUUCAGGACGGUCCGGGCGAGGGAGCAGGCUGCCAGCUCUCCUUUCUCUAACUCCUCACACAAACCCCAAAGGGCCCUUUCACCAAAUCAUUAAAUUCUACAGAGGUGGUCAAGCCCGCACUGCUUUUCAUGCGACGGAGAAAGAAAAGGGUCCUUGAAGUUUCGAAGAUGCCCAAGGAAAACUCCUUGAAUGACAUCAAAAGAAUGAGUUUCCAUAGCUGUUGAAGCACGAGGGCAGUGUAUCCGCACAAAGGGGGCUCGGGGCACCGGGACGGGCCCACCGCUCUGUCCCUGGACAAUUGGGUCACUGAAAUAGGGAAUUAAUUACCAUUGGAGAGUGGGCAGCCCAUUCACCACGGGCUGAGUUUU